ACACAUGCCCUUCCAUCCAGGUUUGCCUGCAGUGUUUGGUUUGUAUCGUGUCUUAUCAUCAGCUUUGCUUGGGUUUAAUGGGAUCCUUAUGUUUGUGUUGUUGAUGUUACUUGGACCAACUCACUCGCAUUCAAUGCUGUUGUUAUGUACGUGUACGUGGAUGCUGUUGGAGGUUACAACUGACAACAGGAAGAGCCACACUGUACCAUGGGGAGUUGUAGUAAUAUGGACGAUGUCAUCAUCAGUGUGGUGGUUUGGCACCGGUCACCAAGCAUCGGUUACUUUUCUUCCAUGGUAUGCUGCGUUUGUUGCAGUGAAGGGGAAUCACCCAACGGUAGUUCUACCAGCUGUGAUGGUCGGGGCAAAUGUUUUUGCUUCUCAGGUUUUGCAUACAGGUGUGUAAUUUAUCCAUGGUUGCCACUCCCAUGCCCACAGUCGAGUUGCUGAAGCUAUUGCAGUGUGUGGAUAAGCAGACAUGACUUUUGGUUGGUUUGGUCAUUUAUAUCCUCGUGGGUGGAACUUGAGUGGCUUAUCCAUGAUUGCCACUCUCAUGCCCACAGUCGAGUUGCUGAAGCUAUUGCAGUGUGUGGAUAAACAGACUGUGGAUAAAUCCUCCGCGCACAACAUAUUUUUCAGUCUGGAGCAGACAUAACUAUUAUAGGCUUAAACCUGAUAUUACUCUAAUAUUUCUAUCAUUCCUAGACCCCAUAAUGCCAGUAGAUUCUAAUAUACCAACUGAGGUUAAAGAAUUAUUGAAGUUACAUCCAGGGUUGGCGUGCACCGAAAAUGGACGGAUAAAAUGCACAGUCACCAACCAUGAAAUGCCGUGUCGCCAUGACUCAGUAUUACAACAUGUGAAAGGAAAAAAAUAUCUUCGUUUGACAACUGGUAUUACAGGAGAAUUUGAUAUUACGAAAUAUGAACCGCACAUUAUGCCCAGUAAUAAAAAAGGACACGAGAACCAGCUUUUCUGUACAUUAACAUUACGACACUUAAACAAGAUACCUUCACAUUUGGAGAAACAUGUUAAUGGGAAAAGAUACAAAAAAGCCAAGGCCAAGUGGGAGGCAUGUCAAUUAAGUGGCGAGAAGUUUGUGCCGCUUCCAUUACUUCAGAGGUAACAACAUCUACGAGAUGAGAAUGAUAACGAUAACGAUUCAGUAAAAGGAAAUGACAAAGAAGUUGAAUCAGAUACCGACAGUUUCUCAGACCUUUAUCCAGAAAAAUAUUUUGAGCGUCUCAAACUAUCUUCAGAUGAAGGAGUGGCAGAAAAAAUGGAGACAAAAUCAAAAACAAAGAAAAAACAACGAAAAAAGGCUGCAAAAAAGACUGAAACUGGAACAAAACGUAAAAAUCCACCAUCUGAGCUUGCUGCCAAAAGAAAAAAGUUGAAUAAAAAGUCUGAAAAUAAAGAAGCAAACUUAAUUACUUUUGAUUAAAGUUGAAAUUAUGUGUUUGGUGGAAAUUGUUGAUUUGUAUUUAAUCUCAUGUGUUUUUGUCGCAUGUUUAUUUCAUUAAAUGAUGGGUUUAAAG